rnacentral:rRNA from 1 species
UGGGGAAUAUUGGACAAUGGGGGGAACCCUGAUCCAGCCAUGCCGCGUGUGUGAAGAAGGCCUUUUGGGUUGUAAAGCACUUUAAGCGAGGAGGAGGCUACCGAGAUUAAUACUCUUGGAUAGUGGACGUUACUCGCAGAAUAAGCACCGGCUAACUCUGUGCCAGCAGCCGCGGUAAUACAGAGGGUGCAAGCGUUAAUCGGAUUUACUGGGCGUAAAGCGCGCGUAGGUGGCCAAUUAAGUCAAAUGUGAAAUCCCCGAGCUUAACUUGGGAAUUGCAUUCGAUACUGGUUGGCUAGAGUAUGGGGAGAGGAUGGUAGAAUUCCAGGUGUAGCGGUGAAAUGCGUAGAGAUCUGGAGGAAUACCGAUGGCGAAGGCAGCCAUCUGGCCUAAUACUGACACUGAGGUGCGAAAGCAUGGGGAGCAAACAGGAUUAGAUACCCUGGUAGUCCAUGCCGUAAACGAUGUCUACUAGCCGUUGGGGCCUUUGAGGCUUUAGUGGCGCAGCUAACGCGAUAAGUAGACCGCCUGGGGGAGUACGGUCGCAAGA